AUGGCUGCCAAAUAAUUUGAGUCCAUUGGCAAGUUCGGCCUGGCCCUAGCCAUUGCAGCAGGCAUGGUGAACUCUGCCUUAUAUAAUGUGCAUGCUGGGCACAGAGCUGUCAUCUUCAACCGAUUCCGUGGCAUUCAGAACAUUGUGGUAGGGGAAGGGACUCACUUUCUGAUCCCUUGGGUACAGAAAUUAAUUAUCUUUGACUGCCACUCUCGGCCACGUAACAUACCGGCCAUCGCUGGUAGCAAAGAUUUGCAGAAUGUCAACAUCACACUGCGGAUCCUCUUCUUGCCUGCUGCGAGCCAGCUUGCUCGCAUCUACACUAGCAUCAGAGAGGACUACUGAUGACCAUGUGCUGCCAUCCAUCGCCACGGAGAUCCUCAAGUGUGUGGUGGCUCGCUUAGAUGCCGGAGAACUGAUCAGCCAGCGAGAGCUGGUCUCCAGGCAGGUCAGUGAUGACCUCACAGAGCGAGCAGCAACCUUUUGGCUCAACCUUGAUGAUGUGUCACUGACACAUCUGACCUUCGGGAAGGAGUUCACAGAAGCAGUUGAAGCCAAACAGGUGGUUCAGCAGGAAGCAGAAAGGGCCAGAUUUGUGGUGGAAAAGGCUGAGCAGCAGAAGACGGCCGCCAUCAUCUCUGCCGAGGGCGACUCCAAAGCAGCUGAGCUGAUUGCCAACUCUCUGGACAUGGCCGGACAUGGCCUGAUUGAUCUGCGGAAGCUGGAAGCUGUGGAGAACAUUGCAUACCACCUACCCUGCUCCUGGAACAUCAGCUGCCUGCCUUCGGGGCAGUCUGUGCUUUUCCAGACACCCCAGUGA